rnacentral:rRNA from 1 species
CAGGGCUUGACAUAGUAGCGAAUGAUGUAGAGAUAUAUCAGUCCUUCGGGACGCUAUUACAGGUGGUGCAUGGUUGUCGUCAGCUCGUGUCGUGUGAUGUUGGGUUAAGUCCCGCAACGAGCGCAACCCCUGUUGUUAGUUGCCAUCAUUAAGUUGGGCACUCUAGCGAGACUGCCGGUGACAAAUCGGAGGAAGGUGGGGACGACGUCAAAUCAUCAUGCCCCUUAUGUCCUGGGCUACACACGUACUACAAUGGCUAUUACAGCAGGAUGCCAAGCCGUAAGGCGGAGCAAAUCCAAAAAAAUAGCCCCAGUUCAGAUUGUGGGCUGAAACUCGCCCACAUGAAGUCGGAAUUGCUAGUAAUUGCAGGUCAGCAUACUGCAGUGAAUACGUUUC